UGGAGGCACAGCUGGAGGAUUGGGCACUACCUACCAGGGAGGUAACAUCUCCAGUGGAAAAGAGAACACGGCUUUAAAACACCUACAGCUGGCUUCCACACCCCCCUGACCUGCAUUUCAGGUCGGCACCACCAAGAUGUCUGUCUGCCUUGGCUGAUGAGGGUAGCUACAUGCAAGGCAAGCUAUCUGAACCCGACAGCAAAGAUCACAUUUCCCCUUAAUGCACCAUGUUGUGGGAAGUGUUUACUGUUGCUACUCUUACAGAGCAGAAAACCAGAGGUAACACGCUGGUGGCCUUUCUAGGACUGAGCUCUUCCAAAUUGCUUUGGAGACGUCCAGAGGAACGUGUGGUGCAUGCUAGCAGCACUGGGCUCUGGCUUUCCGCCUGUUGUUUCUGCUCUCUGCCUUUUCUUCAUG